rnacentral:rRNA from 1 species
UACGGAAGGUUCGGGCGUUAUCCGGAUUUAUUGGGUUUAAAGGGAGCGUAGGCUGAAUAUUAAGCGUGUUGUGAAAUGUAGUUGCUCAACAUCUGCACUGCAGCGCGAACUGGUAUUCUUGAGUGUGCGCGACGUAGGCGGAAUUCGUGGUGUAGCGGUGAAAUGCUUAGAUAUCACGAAGAACUCCGAUUGCGAAGGCAGCUUACGAGAGCACAACUGACGCUUAAGCUCGAAGGUGCGGGUAUCGAACAGG